AGAGUUUGAUCCUGGCUCAGGAUUAACGCUGGCGGCGUGCCUAAUACAUGCAAGUCGAACGGAAGUACCUUCGGGUACUUUAGUGGCGAACGGGUGAGUAAUACAUAGGUAACCUACCCUUAAGACGAGGAUAGCCAUUGGAAACGAUGGAUAAAACUGGAUAGGAUAUAGAGGAAGAAUCUUUUAUAUUUAAAAGAGAGAUCUGCUUAAGGAGGGGCCUGUGGCGCAUUAGCUAGUUGGUGGGGUAAGGGCCUACCAAGGCGAUGAUGCGUAGCCGGACUGAGAGGUUGAACGGCCACAAUGGAACUGAGAACGGUCCAUACUCCUACGGGAGGCAGCAGUAGGGAAUUUUCGGCAAUGGGGGGAACCCUGACCGAGCAACGCCGCGUGAACGAAGAGGUUAUUCGUAAUGUAAAGUUCUUUUAUCAGGGAAGAAAGAGGAAUUUGACGGUACCUGAGGAAUAAGCUCCGGCUAACUACGUG
rnacentral:rRNA from 1 species